UUCAGAAAUAUCAGUAUGUGACCAAGUAGAAAUUAGAUAUUCAUGAGAAUCAUUUUGUGCAAAACUAAAUUAUAGAUUCUUUAUUACUCUUCAUCAACUCCUUAAAUUAAGAAAAACUAAUAAUUUCAUAAUACUAGACAGAAGUUUUGAAAUUAUUUUAUUUAACACAUCUUUUUAUGGUUUGAGAUGAGGAAUCUGAAGGUCCAGAAAAGAGAAAGAGCUUCCUACUUAAGAGUGAAAUUGUGCCUAAAACAAAGUCUUCUGUCUAAAGCCUUUCUAAUACAUCAUCUUGGAAUGUAAUUUAUAAGUAGUAGUGUCUGUGUGGGGGGGUGCGUAUGAAAUAAGGAAUUUGCUUUUUCUUUUCUUAAUUGACAAAUAGUAAUUAUAUAUAUUUAUAAAGUACAGAGUGACAUUUUGAAACAGGUAUACAACAUAAGAUGAUUAAAUCUGAGUAACUAGCAUUUCCAUCUUCUUAAAUAUUUCUAAUUUCUUCAGGGACCAAUGAGGAAAAGCAUCAUUUUCAAAAGCAAAUAAAAGCGAUGUUUAAUCUGAAGAAAGCAUGCUCAUGAUUGGAAGAGAUAUGUUCUUAAAGGUACUGGAGGUUUCUGAGGAGGAAGGAGCCACCGCCAUUUUGGGAGCUUCGAGUCAACAAUAAAGGGCUGAGGGUGCCGAGCGGGAGUGGCCUCAGUGAUUGAACUGAGUGAAUUCAGAUAUAACUCAAGCUUGUUGUUUGAGGGCUUAAAAAAAAAAGUUGAUUCGGUGCAUGAGAGCAAGUUACUGCUGCUUACUGUUCAGAGACUUACAGGUACUUGCCUGCAUUGCAAUAAAGGACUCAUAUAUUGAGCAAGACUUAUAUUUAUCUCUUCAUUUUGGAGAACCUAAUGAACUGUUAUUACAGUUUCUCUACUGACUUUCAAGUUUUGAAGUUUGAAAGAGACACCUUUGCAAUUAACACAGCAUGAGCAAGGCCAGAACAGAGAACCGUUAUAAUGGGUCUGUCCAGUCAAAAUGGUCAGCUGAGGGGCCCUGUGAAGCCCAGUGGUGGCCCUGGAGGAGGGGGCACACACACAGCAACAGACGAACCAGUUGAAAAACACCAACACAAUCAAUAAUGGCACUCAACAGAAAGCACAGAGUAUGACCACCACUAUUAAACCAGGUGAUGACUGAAAAAAGACUUUAAAACUCCCUCCAAAGGAUCUAAGAAUCAAAACUUCGGAUGUGACCUCCACAAAAGGAAAUGAGUUUGAAGAUUACUGUUUGAAAUGGGAGUUACUGAUGGGAAUUUUUGAAAUGGGCUGGGAAAAGCCAUCUCCUAUUCAGGAGGAGAGCAUUCCCAUUGCUUUAUCUGAUAGGGAUAUCUUAUCUAGAGCAAAAAAUGGAACAGGCAAGAGCGGUGCCUACCUCAUUCCCUUACUUGAACGGCUAGACCUGAAGAAGGACAAUAUUCAAGCAAUGGUGAUUGUUCCCACUAGAGAACUUGUUCUACAGGUCAGUCAAAUUUGCACCAGGUCAGCAAACACAUGGGAGGGGCCAAAGUGAUGGCAACCACAGGAGGAAUCAAUUUACGGGAUGACAUAAUGAGGCUUGAUGAUACAGUACAUGUGGUCAUCACUACCCCUGGCAGAAUCCUGGAUCUUAUCAAGAAAGGAGUAGCAAAGGUUGAUCAUGUCCAGAUGAUAGUAUUGGAUGAGGCAGAUAAGUUGCUGUCACAGGAUUUUGUGCAGAUAAUGGAAGAUAUUAUUCUCACGCUACCUAAAAACAGGCAGAUUUUACUGUAUUCCGCUACUUUCCCUCUUAGUGUGCAGAAGUUCAUGAAUUCCCAUUUGCAGAAACCCUAUGAGAUUAACCUGAUGGAGGAACUAACUCUGAAGGGAGUAACCCAGUACUAUGCAUAUGAAACUGAGAGCCAAAAAGUACACUGCCUCAUUACACUUUUCUCUAGGCUUCAGAUAAACCAGUCGAUCAUUUUCUGUAACUCUUCUCAGCAAGUUGAAUUGUUAGCCAAGAAGAUUUCUCAGCUGGGUUACUCUUGCUUCUACAUCCAUGCUAAAAUGAGGCAGGAACAUCGAAAUCGUGUGUUUCAUGAUUUCCGAAAUGGCUUAUGCUGCAAUCUUGUUUGCACUGAUCUGUUUACCCGAGGUAUUGAUAUACAAGCUGUGAAUGUGGUAAUAAAUUUUGACUUCUCAAAGCUGGCGGAGACCUAUCUUCAUCAUAUUGGAAGAUCAGAUCGCUUUGGACAUCUUGGCUUAGCCAUCAACUUGAUCACCUAUGAUGAUCACUUCAACCUGAAAAGUAUUGAGGAGCAGCUGGGAACAGAAAUUAAACCUAUUCCAAGCAACAUUGACAAGAGCCUAUAUGUGGCAGAAUACCACAGCAAGCCUGUAGAAGAUGAGAAACCUUAAGAAGCAUGCUUUGAAAAACUACAGAAGGCUCCUUGGAUCUGCCACACAUUUUUGGGGGGAUGCUCUUCUCUUUGUGGGUUUUUCAUCUUUUUUUUGUUUUUUGUUUUUUGUUUUUUUGAAACUAUGAAGAAUUAAAAAAGAGCUCAGACAUUUUUCUUUUUUUAACUGGUGAAGAGAAAAAACUGAAAAGAAAUAUACCUUUUUUGUUCCAUUUGUUUGCACUGUGUGUUGACUGAACAUUAGUUGCACUAACUGCUGGUUUUUAAAAAAUGUUUUCUGGGGAAAGGGGACAAGGAAGGAGGAAAAAGAAGAGAAGGAGAGAAACCCUAAAAAGAGAAGACUCUUAUUCUUGAUGAACACACAAGUUCAUCUACAUCUUCAGAAUUCUUCAACAGCUGACUUUCGAGUGCAUUUCAACUUCUCCCUGAUUAUCCAUCUGUUUUUAAGCCCAAAGAGCUUAUUACUUAUUUGUGCCUUAUGCUAUGAGAACAUUCAGAAUAUCAUCUUUUAGACACAGCCCAAGGAAUCAACAAAAUAAUUUUUUUUUCUUUUUAAAAUUUUUGUCUGUUCAUUUUGGUUUCAAGUUGAAGUGUCUCUCUUCCCAUUCUACCCAGUUCUACCCAGUACUCGAGCCCAGGGCUGGAAGAUGAAACUUACUAGUAACAUUAAACACCAUUAUCUUUUUCUGUACGUGGAGGAGUUGAUAUGCAACUGCGGUUCAUCCGCACUGUAAAUACAUGUAUUUAAAAAACAAUCUGGGCUGAGUAGAUACAACACCUUCGCUCCCAAAGGAAAGAGCAGUCUAUCAUUGCAGGAGCCAUAUGACAAGCCUUUGUGCUCUAUUGCAGAACACUAAAGAGUGGUUUACAUAUGCCUCCAUUAGCAGUA